rnacentral:rRNA from 1 species
GAUCAUGGCUCAGGAUGAACGCUAGCUACAGGCUUAACACAUGCAAGUCGAGGGGCAGCAUGAAAGGAACUUCGGUUCUUUUUGAUGGCGACCGGCGCACGGGUGCGUAACGCGUAUCGAACCUGCCUCAUACUCGGGGAUAGCCUUGCGAAAGUAAGAUUAAUACCCCGGCGGUCUCGGAUUGCCGCAUGACUAUCCGAGUGAAGAUUUANCGGUAUGAGAUGGCGAUGCG